ensembl:ncRNA C07E3.17 ncRNA
AUCUAUAGAUCUAGAUCAACAUCAACCUACAGUAUACCAUUGUCUGACUAUCCUCAACCAUCGCCAACUCCGUCUAGUGUG